AGCCCUGUAGUGUAGUUGGUCAAUCACACGGGGUUUUGGGCCCCGGGACCCCGGUUCGAAUCCGGGCAGGGCUA
rnacentral:tRNA from 1 species